CUAAUUAAUACGUAGGUACGUACAAUGUUGUCCUUGGUACGUAUGUUAAGUGCUUCAAAUACUUCAAUUGUUCAAUCCUUAUCGUACUCUAUGUCUGAUUAUAUUUUUGAUUACGGAACUCUUCAGGUAUUAUAGAAGUUGCUGGUGAUUCCAUACAAGAUCUGGAGUGAUUUUUUCGUAAAUAUGUAAUCUUUCUAGUGAUGUGUACCAAGCAAGACUCAUAAAUUGGUACUCGAGUUUUAUGAGAUACUAAUGAUGUCACGGAUCGUGGGUUGGAACCGUUAAACAGAGAAAAAUAGGUUACCCCCGAACAGUUUUUCAAAAUACGUAAAAACCGGUCCUUGAAAAUAAACCGAUUCCUGAACUGUAAAUUAUUACUUAACAAAAUAAAGAAUGAAAUGCCAUCAGCAUAUAUGAAAAUAA
rnacentral:lncRNA from 1 species